rnacentral:miRNA from 1 species
AAGAGCUGCUGAGUGGGGAGGAGAGAGGGACAGAGAGCCUGCUUGCUUUAAAGGAGCAAAGCGGGAGAGGAGAGGAGCCGCUUACACGAGUGUAAGCGGCUCCUGUCCAGUUGGCUCCUUUAAAGCAAGCAGGCUCUCUGUCCCUCUCUCCUCCCCACUCAGCUGGCUAAA